GUGCUGAGCUGACACCUUGAUGGCCCUGGGGUCUCUGGAACAGCUGUGGGGAGAGAAGUGGGGCAGGCCAGUCAUAGUUGCUAAGAAUCCCACCCUACUCUGCAGACAGUGCAACCGAGGCCCAGAGAGGAGCAGGGCUGAGGCCGGCGGGGGUGAUAGGCACAGGUUACACCUAGCAGGGUGGGGAAUAAACUCGGGCUGGCACCCAAGGCCUGGGUUCUGCCACUAGCAGGCUGCAGAAACCCGGGUCAGUCUGGGCCUCAGUUUCCCUACUUGUGAAAUAGGGAAAGUAACAAGGAGUCAGUUUUGAGAAUUGGAAUUGAAAUGAGAUUGUGGAUUAGGAGUAAGAGUUAAUCAGGUGUUUUACUAUGUAUCCUGCAGGCCUUGGUCUAUGUACAUCACACAUGCCACCUCCUUGGCUUCUACCUCCACUUUACAGGUAAGGAAACAGGCGUGGAGGGGUGAUUCAGCCUGCAAGGUCACACAGGAGGUAAAUGACAGAGUUGAGACACAACCUACAGGGGCCAACUGCAGAGCCAAAUCCAGGGAUAAUGACAGUGGAGCUCAGCGGUCCACUGACCCCUUCCCCAACCCGCUCAGCUCAGGUGCACAGAGAGGGCACAGGCACCCCACCCCUUGGAGAAGUCCCCCGUCCCUCCUGGCCCUGCUGUCACUUACCCUUUGCCCUCAGCACAGUCCAGUGGAGGGGCCAGUUUGAAGCAGGUCAUGCCCAACAGCUCCCAAAGCGUGUUGGCACCCACAGGUGGGCCGUGGAGCCUCAGGAAGCGUGCUAGACUGAGGGCAGAGGCAGCCUCAGGCUGGAGCAGGGCCUAGCCAGCCAGGUGUCCCUUCCCAGUGCCUGGUGACAGGCAGCCCACCCCCAAGGGUCCAAGCAGGCCUCACCGGCGGGUGCAGUUGCAGUGGAAGAGGGGUUCACGGGCAUUGUUGAACAGCUGGAACUUGGUCUCCUGGGGCCCGAUCCGGUGCUCACACUGGUCCAGGUAGCGGAAGCUGCGGCAGGCCUGGCGGGCACCUGGGGGCAAGUGUGGUGGUGAGGGGAGCCCAGUCCCCCAGCGAGGCCCUGUUGAUGCCCACUGCCAUCUGGCACACAUGCUCAGUCUCCCUCGCACAGGUCCCUUCAUCUCAUGCCUUUUGUGCCCUCAGAGUGCCUCACACAUGGGAGAUACACACACACACACACACACACACACACACACACACACACACACACACACAGCAGUGCUGCCAUGGGGGAAGCCCAAAGAGUCGAGAGUGGUCAGAAGAGGUUUCCUGGAGGCAGAGGCUGCGAAGCUGAAACUGGAAGAGAGGAAGAGUAAGGGAGAAUGCUCUAGGCAGCAGGAACAGCAUGUGCAAAGGCCCAGCAGUGGGAGAGAGCAAGCGGCUUUAGAGGAACCAAAUGACGUUUGUGGAACUGGAGUUUCGAUUGGGGAGUAGGGUCUGCAGGACGGGACCCGACAACCCCUGGGUUUUGGACCAUCACAGUGGGGGCUCCAUGGGGAGUGCCGUGGUCAGGUUUGGAGCUACGAAAAUCCCUCUGGCUGCAGCAUGAUUUGAUGGGAGAGGUUGGGAGACCCCAGAAGAAGUUCAGAGCAGGAAAGGAAGCAACACAGGGGCCCCCCACCCUGCACAGAGGCAGCGAUACCUCCUCACAUCAGGAGCCCCCAAGGUUAGGUUCUGAGCUCACCCUGAGGUUUUGGGUCACCUUGUGGCCCCUGAAGGCCUGGAUCAGUGACCUCCAGCUGGACUAUGGGGGCCAUAUCAGGCCCAGGGGAGGCCACAGGGUCCUGGAGGGCUGUGGCAUUGGCUUGGCUGGGGUGCUUGGACUCUUUCUGCUGUGCUGGCCGCUUCUGAGGGUGCAGCAUCUGCCGAGGCUUGCUGGGGGCUGAGUUCUGGGGACUGGGAAUUGGGGGCGUGGCUGGGGAGCUCCAGGAGGCAUUGUAGAGGGUCCUGGGCUGGAGACGGGCGAGGGGUACAGAGCCAUGUGCUCUACACCUGGGAGGUGGCACAUGGUGGCAAUCGGUGACCUAGAAUCCCCCUCUCGGAAGUCCCCGGGUUGGAGUCUGCCGGUCCCAUCCCUCAUCCCACGUCCAACUGGGUCAUGCAGGGCACCCAGGGAGCAUCUGUAUUCUGGGCCCCACCUAGAGGAGAGGACAGGCAGGACAAGGCAUCAUUUCCUGGAGGACAGACAUACAGACAGGCCUUCCUCCUGGUCUCGGAGCCCCAGCUCCCCCUGGCUGAGAAGGGGCUCGAAAGGGGCAGCCACGUACCCGCCCCACCAGUACCACUCCACACAGCCCUCCUGCUCCUCCAGCACGAAGCAGGGGAUCGCCAGCACGUUGAAGAAGGCCAUGCCCACGAUGUCAGAGAUGGAGUCCCGCUGGUUCUGCAGGCACUGAUGGAACCUGCCCCAGAGCUGGCACUCAGGUCCCUGGAGCACAGAGGGCUACCUGGCUCCUCUCCCAGACCACCCGGUCACUACCAGCCAGGUGAUUUGGGGUCCAAGAGUCCCCUCUCCUCUUAGGCUUCAGCUUUCCCAUUGCCCGGCGGAGUCUGGCUGACUGAUCCUUUAGAAUUCUCUGGAAUCCCAGACUCUGCACCCAAGGACUUGGUAACCCCACCCCGAGCCCCCAGCCCUCCCUGCCCACCAUCAACCUGGCAUCACAGUUGCAGUGAGAGAUGGUGUGGAGUCGGUAGUUUCGGAUGCCAUAGUUGUACUGGAAGGGUGAGACGGUCUGUGGGCAGCGGUCAUGCUCCUGGCAGCAGAGAUCAGGGCCCUGGAAGAGCCCUGCAGGGAGCAGAGGGGGCACCAGCUCAACAGGGUCCUGGGCACCACAUGCCAGCUAUGACUACCUGAUGUCACGAGCAGAGACCUAGCGCUCGCCUCAGCCCUGACACGGAUGCCCUGGGUGACCUCGGGCCUCCCUCUGGGGGACUUAGAAUUUCAAAGCUUGAAGAGAACACCCAGGUACCACCUCUGUUGGGCGACUCAAGUGCCAGGCAGCCCACCCAGGAACGCUUGCCGAUGGAAAGAUCUUCCUCAGGUGAACUGGUGUCUGCCUCCAGAGUUCUCGGGCUCACACCCCAAGUGAAACUCUGAAGUUAUGAAUGUGUGUAGAAUGGAAUGUCAAACAGCAGGCUGCAACCUUGCUGGCACGAUGAGACAUUGUCAGGAGGCCAACCUGCUCCAACUCAAGUGCCAAGUCCUCCCCGCAAGCCCUCCAUGUGUACGUGCAGACAGCUGUACCAAGGGUGCAAAAAAGCCAUGCGUGUUUUUCAUCACCCGAGCAAUAACACCCUUUGCUGAGCAUCUCCCAAAUGCCUGGCACGUCCCUCACCCACACACACAGCAGUCCUGGGAGGGAGCUGUCACUUUUAUUAUGCAGGUGAGUAGACAGGUUCAGCGAGGGGAAGUAACUCGCUCAGCUUGGAAGGGCUGAGCUGGAAUUUGAACCCAGACCUUUGGGGCUUGGCGUCCACUCCACUGGACACCUCGUGCCCGUAAAGCCUCCUCUUGGAUAACGACUUUUUGGCUCAGCCUCCCUCAGAUGCUGAUUAAUGAGGACUGCCAGGUGUGAGUAGGACUUUUCCCAUCUAUAACCUCACUUAAGCAUCCUAUGAUGAGAUUUAUGGUCACCCCACUUUACAGAUAAGGAAAUUGAGGUUCAGCGUGGCCAGGUCACUCCCUUGGGACACACAGCCUGAGAGAGUGGGUGCCAGGGCUAAAGCCUGCACUUCCUCCCCAACCAGCUCCCCAGUCCACACCCCGACGGCUCACCCAGCUCUGAGGAGUUCCCGGCAGAGUCCCCGACUCCACACCACAGUGUGCCAGACAGGGUCCAGCCUCUCUUCACCCGCUGGUGUCCUGUGCCAGGGGCUGCACUCCGCCCUGCUGCUCGCUUCUCCCUGGUCCCCGCUGGACUCUCAGCAGGCCCUCUGCACGCCUCCCACUGACUCUGAAGGGUGGCCAGGGCUCUCUGCAGCCCAGGUCCAGGGGUGUGGGUGAAGGAGCCCCGGGUGAUCUCAUCAGCGCAGAGGGUACCGAAGGCUGCAGUGAGCUCUGGCUCAUCCUGCCGGCUGCACACCUGCAGUUUCCCGUGUCCAUCCCAGCGGGCAUGGAACAGGGCUAGUCCCUGGGCAUCCUUGCCCAGGAAGCUAAGGGACCCCAAAGGGCUGCCGGCGAUGGGCCUGGCCAAGUGGCAGGAGGUGCUGUGCAAGUGGAGGGCAGGGAAGCCCCCCAGAGCCACCCCCAGCACGCUAAGCACCCCCAACAGCACCACCAGAACCCCCAUUCUGCCCUGGCCCAGCCCCGUUAGACAAAGCCCCUGGGAAGCCUACCCUGGUGGGCCCACGAGGCAGUAGCUCUGCAGCUGAGCGGAAGCGGUGCCCAGCCGACCCGGUGCUGCGGGGCCAAUGAAUGACGCUUUGGGAGGAAUAGGAAGGAGGCUGGAGUAUGGGGUGAUCUGGGGCUUGUAACUGAAUCCACCGGCUGGGCAGGCUGCGGAUUGGCUGAGGACUGCACUUGCCGGGGCCCAUGCCCCCACGCGGCCUGCCUUUCUCCACGCCUUCCAGUCACCUGCCACCAGCCCGCCUGGAUGGGAACGAGCCCUUUCCUGCUGGUCACAACCCAGGAAGCCUGGGAGGUGCCACAGCAGGCACUUUCAAGGUCGCACAGACCUAGCUUGGGUCCUGGCACAGUGUGACUUUAGGCUUAGAAGUCUCAACUUCUCUGAACCUCAGUCUUCUCACCUGUAUGAUGGGCAUAGUCACAGCAGCCACGUCACAGGAUUCUCAGCACAGUGCCUGGCAACCGAAACACUGUCACCAAUGCCUCAGGACACCCCUGGGCAAGAAGAAGUUUACCCAAGAGAAAGCAAGUCUCAAAGGUUUGGGGGCCACAGCAUCUGUGACAGUGAAUCCUGGUCAGGCCACUGCCUUGCUACGUGACUGCAGCCUACAGGACAGGCUCCGGAGCCCUGGCUGCCACCAGAGUGUCCCUCAGUGGCCUCGGAGCAGAGGAUGUCGGGAGCCAAACCAGCAGGACAAGACAGGACCAGCUGGGCCCCACAAACAGAGGGGGGCCAAGGCUUUCCUUUGGG